AAAGAAACCAACAGGGAUUGCCCUAGUAACGGCGAGUGAAGCGGCAACAGCUCAAAUUUGAAAUCUGGCGUAAGCCCGAGUUGUAAUUUGUAGAGGAUGCUUCUAGGUAGCGGCCGGUCUAAGUUCCUUGGAACAGGACGUCAUAGAGGGUGAGAAUCCCGUAUGUGACUGGCUUGCACCCUCCACGUAGCUCCUUCGACGAGUCGAGUUGUUUGGGAAUGCAGCUCUAAAUGGGAGGUAAAUUUCUUCUAAAGCUAAAUACCGGCCAGAGACCGAUAGCGCACAAGUAGAGUGAUCGAAAGAUGAAAAGCACUUUGGAAAGAGAGUUAAAAAGCACGUGAAAUUGUUGAAAGGGAAGCGCCCGCAACCAGACUUUGCGGCGGUGUUCGGCUGGUCUUCUGACCGGUUUACUCGCCGCCGUGAGGCCAUCAUCGUCUAGGACCGCUGGAUAAGACCUGAGGAAUGUAGCUCCCUUCGGGGUGUGUUAUAGCCUCUGGUGAUGCAGCGCGUCUCGGGCGAGGUCCGCGCUUCGGCAAGGAUGAUGGCGUAAUGGUUGUCGGCGGCCCGUCUUGA
rnacentral:rRNA from 2 species